rnacentral:rRNA from 1 species
CGGCAACAGCUCAAAUUUGAAAUCUGGCCCUAGGCCCGAGUUGUAAUUGGCAGAGGAUGCUUUUGGCGAGGCGCCUUCCGAGUCCCCUGGAACGGGGCGCCGUAGAGGGUGAGAGCCCCGUACGGUUGGAUGCCGAGCCUCUGUAAAGCUCCCUCGAC